rnacentral:rRNA from 1 species
AGUGAACGCUGGCGGUAGGCCUAACACAUGCAAGUCGGACGGCAGCACAGUAAGAGCUUGCUCUUACGGGUGGCGAGUGGCGGACGGGUGAGGAAUACAUCGGAAUCUACUUUUUCGUGGGGGAUAACGUAGGGAAACUUACGCUAAUACCGCAUACGACCUACGGGUGAAAGCAGGGGAUCUUCGGACCUUGCGCGAUUGAAUGAGCCGAUGUCGGAUUAGCUAGUUGGCGGGGUAAAGGCCCACCAAGGCGACGAUCCGUAGCUGGUCUGAGAGGAUGAUCAGCCACACUGGAACUGGGACACGGUCCAGACUCCUACGGGAGGCAGCAGUGGGGAAUAUUGGACAAUGGGCGCAAGCCUGAUCCAGCCAUACCGCGUGGGUGAAGAAGGCCUUCGGGUUGUAAAGCCCUUUUGUUGGGAAAGAAAAGCAGCAGGUUAAUACCCCGCUGUUCUGACGGUACCCAAAGAAUAAGCACCGGCUAACUUCGUG